GAGGGGUUAAAGUGUGGCACGCCACCUCAGGUGACACCCGGGCAGAAGGCCGCUUCCUUAAUUACACUGUUGCCUCUUACUGAUGUGUCAAUGUGAAUUAACCUACUACCCCCCCUUCACGUGUACAGAAACACACCACUAAUGUGCACGUUGGUGGUUAGCAGCUACCAUGGGGGUGUUUACAAUUCUCCCUGGCUAGCAGCUAUUCAAGUUAGACGGUGUCAAGAGAUGCCAUGUACAGCUCAGCAUCCCGUGUGGCUCAGUUGGUAGAGCAUGGUGUUCGAUUCCCACGGGGGACCAGUACGGGGGGGAAAAAAAUGUAUGAAAUGUAUGCAUUCACUACUGUAUGUCGCUCUGGAUAAGAGCGUCUGCUAAAUGACAAAAAAAAAAGAAGAAAAAAAAAAAGAGAGAGAGAUCAGGUGUUGAGGACAACAACAAAAUAAACGACAGUGACUCUACAUAGAAGUAGAGUAACCGUGGUUACAGAAUCCUGUUGCCACAGCUGCCGUUAUGAGUGUGUGUGUGUGUGUGGGCCUGUCCACUAAAACCCUCACCAGAUGGUCGACACCUCGCCACGUCGCCAUAACAACCCUCACUAGGCCUAAACACACUGCUACAACACACAGACCGACCAAGCUGAGGCUCUGGCUGCCUCGACCGAGACACUAAAGCCCUGUCAUUAAACCAGGCAUCCUGUUAACCAGCGGCGUGUGUUUCUAUGUUUUACAGCGUUCAGACAGUAUGCAUGGACAGGUCAGUGUUGGUGGUUAGCUAUGGACAGGUCAGUGUUGGUGGUUAGCUAUGGACAGGUCAGUGUUGGUGGUUAGCUGUGUGUUAGCUAUGGACAGGUCAGUGUUGGUGGAUAGCUGUGUAUUAGCUAUGGACAGGUCAGUGUUGGUGGAUAGCUGUGUAUUAGCUAUGGACAGGUCAGUGUUGGUGGAUAGCUGUGUGUUAGCUAUGGACAGGUCAGUGUUGGUGGAUAGCUGUGUAUUAGCUAUGGACAGGUCAGUGUUGGUGGUUAGCUGUGUAUUAGCUAUGGACAGGUCAGUGUUGGUGGAUAGCUGUGUGUUAGCUAUGGACAGGUCAGUGUUGGUGGAUAGCUGUGUGUUAGCUAUGGACAGGUCAGUGUUGGUGGAUAGCUGUGUAUUAGCUAUGGACAGGUCAGUGUUGGUGGUUAGCUGUGUAUUAGCUAUGGACAGGUCAGUGUUGGUGGAUAGCUGUGUAUUAGCUAUGGACAGGUCAGUGUUGGUGGAUAGCUGUGUGUUAGCUAUGGACAGGUCAGUGUUGGUGGUUAGCUAUGGACAGGUCAGUGUUGGUGGAUAGCUGUGUGUUAGCUAUGGACAGGUCAGUGUUGGUGGAUAGCUGUGUGUUAGCUAUGGACAGGUCAGUGUUGGUGGUUAGCUGUGUGUUAGCUAUGGACAGGUCAGUGUUGGUGGAUAGCUGUGUGUUAGCUAUGGACAGGUCAGUGUUGGUGGAUAGCUGUGUAUUAGCUAUGGACAGGUCAGUGUUGGUGGAUAGCUGUGUAUUAGCUAUGGACAGGUCAGUGUUGGUGGUUAGCUGUGUAUUAGCUAUGGACAGGUCAGUGUUGGUGGAUAGCUGUGUAUUAGCUAUGGACAGGUCAGUGUUGGUGGAUAGCUGUGUAUUAGCUAUGGACAGGUCAGUGUUGGUGGAUAGCUGUGUAUUAGCUAUGGACAGGUCAGUGUUGGUGGAUAGCUGUGUAUUAGCUAUGGACAGGUCAGUGUUGGUGGAUAGCUGUGUGUUAGCUAUGGACAGGUCAGUGCGUGUUCUCGGUUAGCUGUGUGUGUGUGUGUGUGUGUGUGUGUGUGUGUGUGUGUGUGUGUGUGUGUGUGUGUGUGUGUGUAUAGGGCAGGCUUAGGGAACUGUGUGUUGAUUGUUAGGGCUGGGAUAAUACCAGUAUCGUAAAUAUUGCAAAUCUUUCCAUGGCAACAAAAAAAAAAACGGUCCUUUAAAAACAUGCUGUAUGCACAAUAUUGCGUUCUAUAACCUGGGAAAUAAAUACAAGUGACUCUGGAUGACAUCAUAAUGAUGCUUGUUUCCAACAUUAGAGCUGUUUUCCUAAAGGAGUUACAUCUGAUAAAUGUUUUGUUUCCUUGCCACGAUACUAAGGAACAUGGCGAUGCCGCUACGGUCCCGCUCUAGUGACUGUGUCUGAUAUAGACAGGUCCUUGUAUAUGGACUGCUAAGUGUGUUUGUGGGCAGGUCAAUGUGUUCUUGGACUGUCGUCCUGCGUUACAGUCACAGGCUCAACCCUUCGCUCCACCUCAGGCUUUUCCUCUACUACUAACACAGAACAGGGACAUUUACAGAACUAACAGUGACAGUCAAACAGGGGAGGCCACUUACUACUAAAACAUGACAGCAGAUCAGUUUGCCCAGGCUCCUUUGUCACACACUGUCCCGUAUACUACACACUGGUAUACUACGCACUAUGUACUCAUCGUUGCUUACUAACCUCCAGAAGACAAGGUCAGUACAGGUGCAUCAAAGCUGGGACCGAGAGACAAAAAAAACCAGCUUCUAUCUCAAGGCCAUCAGACUGUUAAAUAACCAUCCCUAGCCAGCUACCACCUGGUUACUCAACCCUGUACCGUAGAGGCUGCUGCCCUAUAUACAUAGACAUGGAAUCACUGACCACUUUAAUAAUGUUUACAUACUGCUUUACUCAUCUCAUAUGUAUAUACUGUAUUGUAUUUUACUGUAUUUUAGGCUAUGCCACUCUGACAUU
rnacentral:lncRNA from 1 species